AGGGGUGAAGAGAAGGAGACUGGAUUGGGGAGAGAAUAAACAAGUGAUCAUCAGAGAGACCUUUUAUUUUCUCAGUUAGAGGUGAGUCAGCAGGCUUCACCAUUAGCGGAAGGAAGAACUCUCAAAACUAUUUCAAGACUCUUGGCUCUGGGUCCCUAGUCACUGUUCAGUUUUCUGGCUCUAAUUUGGAGUCCCUGGAGAUGUCACUACAGAGAAAGUGCACUGGCCAGAAAACCCGUGUACCCCAGGGUCCUUAAUGUUUAUUUUUCUCAUUGUACAUUCAUAUGUUGAUUUGUGGUAUAUGAUUUUUUUUUCUCUGUUGAGUCUGGAGAGUUGAGCUCCACGGCCCCAACAACGCUUCUCAUUAUGGAGUCCAAGUAGUUUCUUGACUGCUAACUUGAGUGUCAAGAAUCUGUGAGAUUCAGUUUAAAUGAGCAGCUGGAUUCUUUCAGUAACAUCUCCAAGUUGUUUCUAAACAACUGUAAAAUGUAUCAUAGACUUUGUAGAGCUGUUAGGAGUCAACAUUUUACAAAGAAGGUAGCAGGCUCAAAGAGAUGAAAUGACAAGCCAAGGACACAGGGCAAGAAGGUGGAUGGAUAGAGACACAAACCUUUUGAACAUGAAGGCAACAUUGCUUCCACACCUUGCAGUGUUUCUCACAAACACCAUUGGGCCCAAGGACUUUGUUUUCAUCCACUUACACGCCCAUUGGGCUUUUAAUGACAAUACACCUUUGUUAGGAAGCAGAUCCUUCCCCAGAUAAAAUGACUUCAUAAUUAUAGAAGCUUCACAUAUAGAAUUUUUCCUGAGCCCUCAUAGCUUCCCAAACCAAUAUAUGUUGAUCCAUGAUGAUGCACUUCUUAAGCCUGACAUGGAUUUCUUCCUCUUUUUUUAGUCAUCCAAAAGUACCCCUGCUGAAGCCUAUUAAAAUUCAGGUGAAAAAAAGAUAAAUAAAACUCCCUUGCUUGAAAAUUUGAUCUUCUCAUUUUGAAACUAACUCUUAAGCUUUGACAAAAUGUUUAUGUUCUAUUAAAAAUACAGCCAUCCAUCAAGUGUGGUUUUAUAGGUAAGAAUUAAAAGGGGAGGUCAGGACGCCCCAAGGAUGUGAUUUACAUCCUUAAUUAUGUUUCGACAGACCUCCUGCACACAGAAUUGCCUUCCAAUGUAACAGCCAUAUAAAGUUCAUUUUUAUCUGUUUUGACUUGUUUGUUAUGCUGCAUUUGCCCAAUGCUCACAGAGCUAGAGAAUAACAGAAACCAGACCAGAAAUGACUGCCUUUUCUCUGGGCCCAAAAUGUCAUGUAUCAGAACAGUCACUGGGCUCCUACCAGUCUGUUGAUAGGAUUCACGCUGUGACCUCUCCCAUUUGUUCCAUUUAAAUUACCCUGAAGGCAUGACUCAGCAGGGCUCUGAAUUGGGAUUGGCAUAUGCUGUGCAAACAGCCCAUCCUCAGACCUCAGUAACCCCUCACCAGUAGCCUAGGAAAAUCUCUAUGACAAAAACUUACGGGUUCGGACUCCAGGAGCAGUGGAAGUCCACUGCCAGAAACCUAAAUGGUGGCAUGGUUCUGAGAAUGUGGACUCUGAACAGGCUCCGUGUUGCUGCUUCCCAUCCCUGCCACUCUUCAGCCCGCUGUGGGCAGGAAGUGUCUCCUCAUGAGUAAACGAGGGAUUUUAAAGGAUGUAAAACCCGUGUUUAUAUCAUAUGGUUGCCAUGAGGAUUAAGUGACACAUUUCGCUUAGUGUGUGAGAUACAUAUACAUGAGAUUAUUUGUGUAACCAGCCUCUAACAGUUCUAACAGAAACUGGUGCAUGGAAAUCCUUAAAAUGCCAUUUAUCCAUUCAUUUUAAGGGACCUUUCCUCUUUGGUACUUAGACUCUUGAACGUUAAUAACAAGAAGAAAGGAGAGACAAGCUAAAGAAAUGCAAUGCAAUUUUCCACAUCUUUUUUUUUUUUCUUUUUUUGCUCUCUUUUAUUCUGGGAAAGAAGCAAUUGAAUGGGAACCAUGGAGAAUUAGUAUUGUUGAAGGAGUAAAAUAAAUCACAAUGAACCUAUAAAAAUCAGGCUAAUCAGCACGGCUAACAUAAUAAACAGACAAGCUUUUCAGCUUGGUGGGAUGGGUUGACCUGAAAGUUGAAUUCACAUGAACAGAAAAUUGGGAGGAAGAUAAGAGGUCGCACUUGUAACACAUUCUAACGGUGGAUUUGCCCAAUGACCAAUUUCCCCUGACUUGAAAACAACACGAGAAAAGAGGAACAGCUGAGAUGCCGGGUGCCGGGUGUUGGUGGCUUCCUCGAUUGUACAGGAAGGCUACUCAAUGCCUGGGCGCCGUGCUUCCUGGAGUAGAUGCUACCACAGGCAGAGCAGACUGGACCCCAAAACUCAGCAGGGCCAUCUAGACACAUGUUGUGCACCCUGGGGUUGUCCCCAAAUAGCCCAGCCAACCUCCUCCGCUUAAUACUAAAACACGUUUGGGAGAAUUGAGAAAUUGACCUUAGUUUUAAAAAGGGCCUGUUUAGGGGCACCUGGGUGGCUCAGUCGGUUAAGCGACCAACUCUUUGGUUGUUGGUAAUUAAGUUUUCUCAUCCCCUUUAUCAGUGAUUGGCGUUGGAAGGAACAUGUGAUCUCAUGGACCAUCCUGUUAGUGCCAGGGGAAUUCGCUGACACUAGGGAGGGGUGGGUGACAAAGGGGAAGCAGAGCCCUGGAUGGCAUCCUUGGGAGAAAUCUGAAGUGGGCCUGCCUUAGGAUACCCCCCUCUGACAGCCAAUAAAUGUCUCUAUUAAUUCAAA